AAUUGGAAUUGAUCAAAUUCAAACAAUACCCAACCCUAGUUACAAAUGCUUAUUGACCUGUCUGUACAAAUACUGCAUGGCUUUGGUUCCUCAUUAUGUGCACUGCAGGGGCUCUUAAACCCUCAAUUGAUGCUGCUUAUUUCUUUGCAUAUUCAUGUCACCUGCUUAAAGCAUUUAGCUUUUGUUAAAGGCAGGAAAUUAGAAAAUCUUUUUUUUUUAAUCAUAGUCUUACUUAUGUACUUACUACAGUGUGCCAGUAACAGCUGCUCGUAUCAAUGAAAACAGGUAUUUUGGUGCAGCCCAAUAGUGCUUAAUGGUUAAUAUAUUCCUCCUCAUCAGAAACAAUAUUGUAAAGCUAAUAUUUGGUUACAGAUCGUAUACCUCUUAUAGUUGUGAGCAUUUAUGUUUGAGUUGUGCUUUAGACUUGCCUCAAUUCCCCUGCUUCCUUCAUGGGUCGAUUUCUAUAGAGAAAAGUACACUCACAUUCUUUGUUUUUAUCUCUGUCACAUUUUUCAUCAACUUCUCUAUCCCUGUUUCUGUUCCUUUUCAUUUUCCUUUGGAUAAGCAGUUUUCAGUGUGAUUAACAGUGGUGUGCCUGAAUGAAAUUUCUGUGAAGAGAUUAUUGAAUAAUGGGCCACUGAGACUGAGCUGCAUCAGCCUGUAUUCCUGGUGUCUCAUGUCCAGUAAAACACUGAUUAUUGUCACUCCACUUCUUAUUUAAAGCAUCGAUCCUCUCUCUUCUGUAACUGAGCUCUGAUGCAGCCAAAGCUAAUCUACUAUCUGCACUGACCUUUUGUUUAGUGUGAUGAGAACCCUUUGUGUCCUAACUUACUUCACCUGUCCCUUAAACAUUUGGUUACACUGCACUGUGAGCUUUUUUGACCUAUAAAAUGUUCGUAAAUCAAGCUUCAAUCUUAUAUGGUAAAUUUGAAUGCAUUCUAUUCACUACGAGAUCCUUCCUGUUGUUCAGAUUCUGCCAUGCAACUUCCAACAUUACAGUCCUUCUGUGCCAUGAUUGACCUAUGAACUUUCACCUUUGUUUUACACCUGAACAUGCUGUUUGCUGUGUUGACUCCGCAUUUGAUCUUGGCAGGUUGACUCAAGAUUGAGUAGAAAAAGCAGGAGAAUGGAUAGAGUGAAAGAGACAGAGCUCACAACAAAAACAAGUGUGUGCUGUCUGCUCUGUCCGAUCACACACAGUCAAGACUUGUGUGCUUUAACUCACGCGCCUGGUCCAUGUCCUAAGUUGAAAAACAUACUGACUCAAGUGUCAGGAACAAAAACAAGUUGGCCAUCCUCACAUACCUAGAGAGGGAGAGAAUGAAAGAAAAAAAACAAUC